UUAUGUUGACUUUGUCCUUGGCG
rnacentral:piRNA from 1 species